AUGACGCUGACUGUGGAGUGGUCAUUACCGCUUGCUGUUUGGACCUGGGUCACUUUAUUGACUUGUCACCGUGGAGGCCCAAAUCGAAGCAGGCCAGCCAAAGCAAGAAAGCAGCCCACUGAGGAACACUUCUGCUCCAUCCAGUCCAAUCACUCUAAAGAACUCAGAAUUUUUUUUUUUUUGCUCCUCUUUUCUGGGUAUUUCAUAAUUCUUAAAGGAGUAACAAUGUUUGGAUCCACGGAGAUGAGCCAAGACUUGGGAAUGACCUGCAUUUGCAGGGUUGUUAGAAACGCACUGGGUUAAAGUUCAAAAAAUAAGAGCUGGGUUUCUAUACAUUUUAAACAUUUUUAUUUUCUGGAAGAUGUCCGGAUGAACCGCAAAAUCCUUUUUAAGUGCACUUCUGUAUAUUUACCUUAGACACUUUUUUGAAAUCUGCUUAUAAAUCUAACUCAUCUGACUCCAGUUUUUCCAACGUUGGGUUUCUCCUAGGCACAUAGAAAAGCAAAAGAGACUUUUAAUAUCCUGAGUUUCUCGUGGGCCUCCCAGCAAGGCUAGCUUUCUUAAGGCACCACCUUGGAAAUACUGUUUGCUUUUCUUUGUUAAGUUCUAUUAGCCUCAAACUUAGGAACCGAGCAGCAGUGAUGAGAGGUGCUAUUAACUAAUGCUGUUCCCAGCACUUGACAUGUAUUUGACUCAUUUAAUCUCCUAGACAACUUAUGAAUUAGGUACUUUUAUUAUUAUUCCCAUUUUAUAGAUGGAGAAAAUAAGGCACAGGGAAUUCGAUACUUUACCUAAGACAUCGCUGGUGCUAGGUAGGGGCAAAACUGGGAUGUCCCCCAGGCAGCCAGGUUUCAGAGUCCAGCGUGCCUGCUAAUUCCUACUCUCCACACUACUUCCUCUCCAGUAGACAUCACGUGGCCACACGUACCUUUCUAGCAAGUUUGUUAUGGUGUCAUUCAUUUGCCCGCUCCAUGAAAUAGUGAAGAUCUCCUUCGUUUGCCCAAGUUUGCUCAUUUUUUCCCCCCCUGGUUAUUUACAUAACCAGCCCAAAUCCUCUUUGGUAAAUGAGGUGAAGUCUUCUGUUUCGACAAGAUCAACCAUAACUAUCUGAUGUUUUUAUCUUUUUCUUGGUGAUGGACUAAAUGAGUUUACCAUUCUUUUUGGUUUGAACAAAUGGUUGAUCCAGUUUUAGAGAGAAACUAUUUAUUUAUUUAUUUAUUUAUUUAUUUAUUUAUUUAUUUAAAAAUAUUUUAUUUAUUUAUUCCUGAGAGUCACACAGAGAGAGGCAGAGACACGGGCAGAGGGAGAAGCAGGCUCCCUGCAGGGAACCUGAUGUGGACUGGAUUCCAGGACCCCGGGAUCACGCCCUGAGCUGAAGUCAGAUGCUCAAUCGCUGAACCGCCACCAGGCAUCCCUAGACUGAGACUUUAGAUUGCCAGCUCCCAACCUCAAGUAAUUGUGACCUAGAGGAGGGCGCAUUACACAUGUGGGGAUCAGUAAAAUAACACUGUACAGAAGAAAUGUAAUUUUAAAAUUCAUGAAUAGAAUAAUUUUAUCAGUAAUCACUCAGAUGCAUCAAAACCCUAUCCCAUACGUAUGCAUAUAUGUGUGUGUAUAAAAUAUGUAUGUUUUCGGCAUAAACUUACUCUCACUUUGUAAGCAAACCCGUAUCAUGAUGAGUUUGCCCUGUCUAUUGUUACGUUUGCAAUUUAGGCCCAAACCUAACCUUUUCAGCAUGGCCGUGUUAUAACAGGUGUCUUUUGUGUUGAAUCAUGCAUCUAGCAUUUAUGUCCAUCAUGAACUAAUGCCUCUUAGUGGUUCAUCCCUUAUAUCGUGAUCUUCCAAAAUACAGUUGUGGAAAGGGGGAGGGAAAACAUUAAAUGUCAGUAGUUACAGCAAGACGGUCUCUAGGAAGGAGGCAGUUUCUUGCUGCUUUCACAUUCCUGUGGCCCUAGCGGAAAUGUAAAAGUGCAGGGUUUGCAUUGGAAUGAGAAUGGGGUCACCUACCCUUUGUAGUCAUCAUCAAGGAAGCAGAACUUCCUUCCAGAGAGACCAUAGGAAAUCAAUGAUCAUACUUUGCCAGUGAAGAGGUAAAUGUGGACAGCAGACGCCAUUAAAUAAAAGGGCAGCAGAAAAGUGAUUUACUCUAGAA
rnacentral:lncRNA from 12 species